CGGGGUGUAGCGCAGUUGGCUAGCGCACGCGCUUUGGGAGCGUGAGGUCGCAGGUUCGAGCCCUGUCACCCCGACCA
rnacentral:tRNA from 1 species